rnacentral:tRNA from 1 species
GGCAGGUUGCCCGAGCGGCCAAUGGGAGCGGACUGUAAAUCCGUCGCGAAAGCUUCGUAGGUUCGAAUCCUACACCUGCCA